CAUCAAUCGUAACAUUGGUUGUGAUUCUCAUCAGAUGGAGAAGAAACAAAGACACACAGAUGAACGCAGAUGAAAUCAGAACCUUCUCAGCGGAGGAAACGAGAGGUUUUGAUAAACCUGACUCUUCUCUCUGUGAGGCCGACUCUUCUGUUCCUGUCGUCUCAGGGAACAAAACACAGACGGACAAACACACGGUCGACCCUGCAGAGGAUGUGUUCUACGCCUCCAUCAGCCACGCCCCUCACAGCUCG